rnacentral:rRNA from 1 species
GAUGAACGCUGGCGGCGUGCCUAAUACAUGCAAGUCGAGCGAACAGACGAGGAGCUUGCUCCUCUGACGUUAGCGGCGGACGGGUGAGUAACACGUGGAUAACCUACCUAUAAGACUGGGAUAACUUCGGGAAACCGGAGCUAAUACCGGAUAAUAUAUUGAACCGCAUGGUUCAAUAGUGAAAGACGGUUUUGCUGUCACUUAUAGAUGGAUCCGCGCCGCAUUAGCUAGUUGGUAAGGUAACGGCUUACCAAGGCAACGAUGCGUAGCCGACCUGAGAGGGUGAUCGGCCACACUGGAACUGAGACACGGUCCAGACUCCUACGGGAGGCAGCAGUAGGGAAUCUUCCGCAAAGGGCGAAAGCCUGACGCAGCAACGCCGCGUGAGUGAUGAAGGUCUUCGGAUCGUAAAACUCUGUUAUUAGGGAAGAACAAAUGUGUAAGUAACUAUGCACGUCUUGACGGUACCUAAUCAGAAAGCCACGGCUAACUACGUG